GGCAGUCCUUCCCUUUGAUCCUUUGAUGACACUAAGAUUGGAGGUGUUGUGGACAGCGAGGAAGGCUUUCAAAGCUUGCAGAGGGAUCUGGACCAACUGGAAAAAUGGGCCAGAAAAUGGCAGAUGGAAUUUAAUGCAGACAAGUGUGAGGUGUUGCAAUUUGGAAGGACAAAUCAAGUCUAGGUACCAUAUCCGAUGCGGACGUUGGUGACCAUGGUUUUCCAUAUAGAUCUACCCCUCGUUCUUUGGAUGAUUUCCAUUUCCUCGAUGUGUAGCCACCUGGCUGGGCUUUUGUUGUACUUAAGCUGAGGUCUUCCUCUAGAAAAGUUUUGGAUUUGCGGCAAUCAUUAGUUUUCCUCUUCUGAGACUUUGUCCAUUUUGCUGACUCAGCUGACAGCUUUCUUCUGGACACCUGUAAUAACUGGGAGAAAAUACCCUUGGUAUGGAACCCAUGGUGGAUACAGAGAUACUAUUUAGAUUGGCAAGAAAGUCAAG